rnacentral:hammerhead_ribozyme from 1 species
AUCCAACUGGUGAAUUCAAAAUAAAACGAAACACGCGUCCUGGAU